rnacentral:rRNA from 1 species
UGGGGAAUUUUGCGCAAUGGGGGAAACCCUGACGCAGCAACGCCGCGUGAGUGAUGAAGGCUUUCGGGUCGUAAAGCUCUGUCAGAGGGGAAGAAAUGAUUUGCGGUUAAUACCCGUGAUUCUUGACGGUACCCUCAAAGGAAGCACCGGCUAACUCCGUGCCAGCAGCCGCGGUAAUACGGAGGGUGCAAGCGUUGUUCGGAUUUAUUGGGCGUAAAGCGCGUGUAGGCGGUUUCUUAAGUCUGAUGUGAAAGCCCUGGGCUCAACCCAGGAAGUGCAUUGGAUACUGGGAGACUUGAAUACGGGAGAGGGUAGUGGAAUUCCUAGUGUAGGAGUGAAAUCCGUAGAUAUUAGGAGGAACACCGGUGGCGAAGGCGGCUACCUGGACCGAUAUUGACGCUGAGACGCGAAAGCGUGGGGAGCAAACA